UACGAGGACGACGCUGGCGGCGUGCUUAACACAUGCAAGUCGAACGGUAAGGCCUUUCGGGGUACACGAGUGGCGAACGGGUGAGUAACACGUGGGUGAUCUGCCCUGCACUUUGGGAUAAGCCUGGGAAACUGGGUCUAAUACCGAAUAGGACCAUGGACUUCACGGUUUGUGGUGGAAAGCUUUUGCGGUGUGGGAUGGGCCCGCGGCCUAUCAGCUUGUUGGUGGGGUAAUGGCCUACCAAGGCGACGACGGGUAGCCGGCCUGAGAGGGUGACCGGCCACACUGGGACUGAGAUACGGCCCAGACUCCUACGGGAGGCAGCAGUGGGGAAUAUUGCACAAUGGGCGCAAGCCUGAUGCAGCGACGCCGCGUGAGGGAUGACGGCCUUCGGGUUGUAAACCUCUUUCAGCACAGACGAAGCGCAAGUGACGGUAUGUGCAGAAGAAGGACCGGCCAACUACGUGCCAGCAGCCGCGGUAA
rnacentral:rRNA from 1 species